rnacentral:misc_RNA from 1 species
AAGGAGCACCAACUGGCUCAGGUCCGCCGGGGUCAUGCAGGUCGGUGGCCAUCGUCGGCGGCGCACGUCCGUCGGAUGGCUGCUCAUAGAUGUGGAGCACUGGCUACUCAGCUCGCCGCUCGUGUGGCCGGCAAGUACCGCCCGGCAGGGCUCUUUGGAGAGCCGCGGGGAGUUGGGAACGGCGGUACCGGGUGGGUGGGGGGGUGGACACGCUGUUGGGUCCUGAAGGGAACGGGCGCGAGCCCGGUGGCCUCGGACUGCGGGACCAGGACCGCAUCCCCUCCUCAUGGGGGUUGGGGUUGUGGUGGGCCCGGUUGUUUUUUGAGAACUGCACAGUGGACGCGAGCAUCUCUGGUGAACGGCGAUGCCCUUCGCGAACGGGAGUUCCUGGGGUUCUGGUCGUUGGAUGGGUGUUGUUGUUUGUCUGCGAUUUGUUUUGAUCGUUUUGU